rnacentral:rRNA from 1 species
AUACGUAGGUGACAAGCGUUAUCCGGAUUUACUGGGCGUAAAGGGCGUGUAGGCGGUCUUGCAAGUCAGAAGUGAAAUUCCUGAGCUCAACUCGGGCGCUGCUUCUGAAACUGCAGGACUUGAGUGCUGGAGGGGAUAGCGGAAUUCCUAGUGGAGCGGUAAAAUGCGCAGAUAUUAGGAAGAACACCGGUGGCGAAGGCGGCCUGCUGGACGACAACUGACGCUGAGGCGCGAAAGCGUGGGGAGCAAACAGGAUUAGAUACCCUGGUAGUCCACGUUGUAAACGAUGAAUACUAGGUGUGGGGGGACUGACCCCCUCCGUGCCGCAGUUAACACAAUAAGUAUUCCACCUGGGGAGUACGAUCGCGAGAUUGAAACUCAAAUGAAUUGACGGGG